UCUCCGUUGGUGAACCAGCGGAGGGAUCAUCAUCGAGUUUAUAACUCCCAAACCCUAUGUGAACUUACCACUUGUUGCUUCGGCGCGCGCUUCGGUGCCGCCGAGGACACUUAAACUCUUUGUUUUUAUAAGCAUUUCUGAGUGGCCGAAAGGCAAAAUACAAAUGAAUCAAAACUUUCAACAACGGAUCUCUUGGUUCCG
rnacentral:misc_RNA from 1 species